rnacentral:rRNA from 1 species
GACGAACGCUGGCGGCGUGCUUAACACAUGCAAGUCGAACGGAAAGGCCCUGCUUUUGUGGGGUGCUCGAGUGGCGAACGGGUGAGUAACACGUGAGUAACCUGCCCUUGACUUUGGGAUAACUUCAGGAAACUGGGGCUAAUACCGGAUAGGAGCUCCUGCUGCAUGGUGUGGGUUGGAAAGUUUCGGCGGUUGGGGAUGGACUCGCGGCUUAUCAGCUUGUUGGUGGGGUAGUGGCUUACCAAGGCUUUGACGGGUAGCCGGCCUGAGAGGGUGACCGGCCACAAUGGGACUGAGAUACGGCCCAGACGCGUACGGGACGCAGCAGUGGGGAGUAUUGCACAGUGGGCGGAAGCCUGAUGCGACAACGCCGCGUGCGGGAUGACGGCCUUCGGGUUGUAAACCGCUUUCGCCUGUGACGAAGCGUGAGUGACGGUAAUGGGUAAAGAAGCACCGGCUAACUACGUG